CACAUGCAGUCGAACGGUGAACACGGAGCUUGCAUCUGUGGGAUCAGUGGCGAACGGGUGAGUAACACGUGAGCAACCUGCCCCUGACUCUGGGAUAAGCGCUGGAAACGGCGUCUAAUACUGGAUAUGUGACGUGACCGCAUGGUCUGCGUCUGGAAAGAAUUUCGGUUGGGGAUGGGCUCGCGGCCUAUCAGCUUGUUGGUGAGGUAAUGGCUCACCAAGGCGUCGACGGGUAGCCGGCCUGAGAGGGUGACCGGCCACACUGGGACUGAGACACGGCCCAGACUCCUACGGGAGGCAGCAGUGGGGAAUAUUGCACAAUGGGCGCAAGCCUGAUGCAGCAACGCCGCGUGAGGGACGACGGCCUUCGGGUUGUAAACCUCUUUUAGCAGGGAAGAAGCGAAAGUGACGGUACCUGCAGAAAAAGCGCCGGCUAACUACGUGCCAGCAGCCGCGGUAAUACGUAGGGCGCAAGCGUUAUCCGGAAUUAUUGGGCGUAAAGAGCUCGUAGGCGGUUUGUCGCGUCUGCUGUGAAAUCCGGAGGCUCAACCUCCGGCCUGCAGUGGGUACGGGCAGACUAGAGUGCGGUAGGGGAGAUUGGAAUUCCUGGUGUAGCGGUGGAAUGCGCAGAUAUCAGGAGGAACACCGAUGGCGAAGGCAGAUCUCUGGGCCGUAACUGACGCUGAGGAGCGAAAGGGUGGGGAGCAAACAGGCUUAGAUACCCUGGUAGUCCACCCCGUAAACGUUGGGAACUAGUUGUGGGGUCCAUUCCACGGAUUCCGUGACGCAGCUAACGCAUUAAGUUCCCCGCCUGGGGAGUACGGCCGCAAGGCUAAAACUCAAAGGAAUUGACGGGGACCCGCACAAGCGGCGGAGCAUGCGGAUUAAUUCGAUGCAACGCGAAGAACCUUACCAAGGCUUGACAUAUACGAGAACGGGCCAGAAAUGGUCAACUCUUUGGACACUCGUAAACAGGUGGUGCAUGGUUGUCGUCAGCUCGUGUCGUGAGAUGUUGGGUUAAGUCCCGCAACGAGCGCAACCCUCGUUCUAUGUUGCCAGCACGUAAUGGUGGGAACUCAUGGGAUACUGCCGGGGUCACUCGGAGGAAGGUGGGGAUGACGUCAAAUCAUCAUGCCCCUUAUGUCUUGGGCUUCCGCAUGCUACAUGGCCGGUACAAGGGCUGCAUACCGCGAGGUGGAACGAAUCCCAAAAGCCGGUCCAGUUCGGAUUAAGUCUGCACUCGACCCCUGAAAUCGGAGUCCUAUAAUCCCGAAUACCAACCCUGCGGGAAAAUUUCCGGGUUUGU
rnacentral:rRNA from 1 species